UGGGGAAUAUUGCACAAUGGGCGAAAGCCUGAUGCAGCAACGCCGCGUGAGUGAUGAAGGCCUUCGGGUUGUAAGGCUCUGUCUUUUGGGACGAUAAUGACGGUACCAAAGGAGGAAGCCACGGCUAACUACGUGCCAGCAGCCGCGGUAAUACGUAGGUGGCAAGCGUUGUCCGGAUUUACUGGGCGUAAAGGAUGCGUAGGCGGAUUUUUAAGUGAGAUGUGAAAUACCCGGGCUUAACUUGGGUGCUGCAUUUCAAACUGGGAAUCUAGAGUGCGGGAGAGGAGAAUGGAAUUCCUAGUGUAGCGGUGAAAUGCGUAGAGAUUAGGAAGAACACCAGUGGCGAAGGCGAUUCUCUGGACCGUAACUGACGCUGAGGCAUGAAAGCGUGGGUAGCAAACAGGAUUAGAUACCCUGGUAGUCCACGCCGUAAACGAUGAGUACUAGGUGUAGGAGGUAUCGACCCCUUCUGUGCCGCAGUUAACACAAUAAGUACUCCGCCUGGGAAGUACGAUCGCAAGAUUAAAAGCUUAAAUGAAUUGACGGGGUCAUAGCUG
rnacentral:rRNA from 1 species